rnacentral:rRNA from 1 species
AUUGAACGCUGGCGGAAUGCUUUACACAUGCAAGUCGAACGGCAGCACGGGGGCAACCCUGGUGGCGAGUGGCGAACGGGUGAGUAAUACAUCGGAACGUGCCCAGUCGUGGGGGAUAACUACGCGAAAGCGUAGCUAAUACCGCAUACGAUCUACGGAUGAAAGCGGGGGAUCGCAAGACCUCGCGCGAUUGGAGCGGCCGAUGGCAGAUUAGGUAGUUGGUGAGGUAAAGGCUCACCAAGCCGUCGAUCUGUAGCUGGUCUGAGGAGGACGA